AAAAAAGAAGGGAGCAGGAGAUUUUUUUCUCUUUUCCUUUCCUUUCUUUUCUUCUUCUCCGGUGUCUCUCUCGGCUCUCACCCCUCUCACCUUCUCUCUUCGAUUUCAUCUACUAUGAAUGAGAUUUUGGAAAAAUCCCAAGUACUAAAGUUGUUCUUUGCGACGAGAGCUUUCUAUCCAUCCAAGAAAAUUCAAGAUCGGAGUGCUUAGAAGUUUCCUCCAUGUUCGGACUUGCUUCUAACCUUCGAGGAAGUUCGAGUCGUCACGUGGAUCGAGGAAGCGACGCGUAGUGUGGUAGAGUGUUUACUUUUGAGAUGUGUUGUAUAUUUGGAAAAGGAAGUUAUGCUUCAUGGUCACUUAGCUUUGUGUAUGAUUUGUUUAGUUUGUAAAUUUGUAGGUAAGCACAGCUUUGAGAGGUUUAUCCUUUUGGUUUGUAAACCUAUGUAAGAUUUUGGUUUGUUAUCAAUAAAAGUUAACUUUUGCUUC